AGAGGUCAAACAAGUGAGAGGAGACCAGUGGCGGCGCUUCUGUCAGUGUUGCAGCCUUUUUGACUUUCACUUGCAACCAGGCGUGGAACCCUCGCCGAGAUGGAUGUGUGUUUGCUGCUGCCUCUGAACAACUUCUGUUUUAUUACCGGGGAGCAGAUCUGCCUCGAAGCUCCACCUGCACGCUGCACGCAGCAGAAGGUGUCAAACAGGAAGUGAAUAAUCAGCACCCCCCCCACUUUUGACACAACAUAAAGUUGGAUGUGUGGGUGUCAGCGGGGGGGGGGGCAAAGCUUUGAGCGCAGCGAUCGAUCACUCAGCAGCAGAUCGCAGCAGCUCGCUGACAGACUGUUAAUGGUGAGGACACCACAGCUCCUGUAAACACUCAGAGAAAAUCCAUCUCUGAGUUGGUUUUCUAAAUAAUGCAGCUGCGAGCCCGUUGGUUCCUGCUGAAGACGUAAAUCUUUAAAUAUAUAGUUUCCUGUUUAAAAAGGCUCAGUAGUUUCCUCAAACUGCUGCUCAACCAACAGGAGGAAACAGAGCAUCUGUUGGGGACUAUUUCCAGCGGCGGAUGAAUCCACAUGUGGUGCUGUAGUGAGUGUUUGGGGCAUACUUGUUAGUAGAUCGGUUCAUUAUUGGUUUGGUUCUGCACGUUGGAUUUGUUGACAAUAACAAAAACAUUUAUUAUCACCAGACUCGUCUUUUAAUUACAGAAGUGCAGCAA